CACUGAGUUUGAUGUUCCCCUUCUUGGUGAGCAUCACGUUGGGGCUCUUGAUGUCCCUGUGAACAGCCCGGUGGUGGUGAACGUGGUUGAGAGCCUGGGGAGAUUGAGAUACAUAGCCAAUCCAGGUCUCCUUCAGGGAUUGGCCUUCGGUGCUGUCGAUCAGGUCGUACAGGGAGCCGCCGCUGCAGUACUCAAGGACAAGCUGCAAUAGGAAGGAAUGAUUUCAGGCCGUAUACUCCGAUGACUCCUCGUUUGGAGCAGGGUGGUGAUAAGCUCCAUAGUAAGAGGCGAUGUUCCUGUGCCUGCUGAACUUCAGGAGAAAGUUUACCUCUCGGCAGACUGACUCCUCAUCCUGGAGAGGAAUAAAAGAAACCCUUUAGCUCACAUAGGCAGCCACACAAUAGGCAUGAUAUGGAGAAAGGAACUAUAAAGAAACCUUACCCAAGUGAUGUUGGCCAUCUUGACGGCUACCUUACCUCUGCGAUGGUGAUGGCCCUGUAACACACACAGAAAGGUGUAACUGACAUUCAGUAUUAGCUGGAAAUAUCAACACUCAUAUUGGGAACAAAAUGACAGAAAUAUUGAGUGAUUAAGAAAUGGAAAAUGUGCAUAGCAGGGAUAGUGAUAGCACUUUCAACUUGCUUUCAGCUCCCCUUGCUCUCUAGGAAUUUGGUUGGUCCCUUACCAUGAACACGGCUGCAGUGCCGCCCUCUCCGAGAAGCUUCUCCUUGGUCAGCCGACCAUCAGGAGGCUGGGAAAAAUAGAUAAAUAGAAUUAACGGGGGAUUUUAUAGAUAACAUAAUAUUCCACAGGAAGGAGAGGGACUAUUGGGAAGGAGGGGCAAGAGAAACACAAGAAAGACAGAGGCAAUUGGAAGGUGUGAGGUUCAUAAAACCGGGGGGGCAUCACCAAACCAACACCCAAAUUCCAUGCUCAAGUCUAGCAGCCCCUACAGGGACUUUUUACUCACCUUAUAUAUUUCGGAGAGGCAUCCGGAUUCAGCCGUCCGCUGAGGGAAAAUUAAAAGAUUCUGUUAGUUUAAAGGAACAUUAUUAGGCCCAAUACUUGCUGAGUAACAAAAUGGUACUACCCCGUGUGGAACAUGCCCUUCCCCCUUGCCCUUACUCAGUAAGAGAUAGGAUAGUAAGUAAGGAUACCUAUAGCAAAGUCACUUUAGGGCCCUCUAAACCUUGGGAAUGAGACUUCCCACCCCCUAUGCCCAAUACACCCCCUGGGCCCCCAGCAGUCACAGGGUCUCACCCCUGGAUAGGAAGGAACUGUCUGAAUAAAGUGUCUGAUUCUGGGAUAAAUUGGCCCCAUAUAGAAGUAGAUAUUUAUUCAGGCUCAUUAAAGAGCCCCAUAUGGGCAGGACACUGUUCUGUGUGUCACUGAAUGGGUUAACAUUCUAUACUUUACACCAAAACCCUUGAGUCAAAUGAAAUCCAUAGCAGGAGCCUUACCUUCCUCCGGGGGGCGCAGAAUGGCAUUGCGCCCUAGUGGUUUUGCUCUUAAAAGAGCAG